UAAAAUUGGUUGGAAAAUUUGUAACUUGCCGGGGUAAUUGGUCAUGUGAUAUAAAAUAGCACAUCUGACAAGGCACUCAAACAUGUACUACAAUGUUUAAACACAAAUUAUCUCCUCUUUUUCCCACCCUUUCCAGAUUUGUUGGAAGGUGCAGUAGUUGACGUUGAUGCAGUCUCUUGCUUCUUGGUCCUUCCAUGAUGCCUAGGCACCAUCUCUGCAACCCGUAACAUUAGUUGCUUUCCUGCAAAACAAACACGCCAAAAAUGAAACCAUAAGAUUUCUAGUAGUCAUUUUCUCAUCAAUUUGACACGUCAUGUUCACAACCAAAAAGAUAAACAACGAAAUUGCUUUUGUAAUGUCAAGAGACAUUAAGGUUCAAAAAAAGUAACAGUUUCCAAACACGUACUAAAUAAAAAAUAUCAUCAUUAUUCAUUAACAUCAUCCAAAAACAGUAAAACCAGAAAUGAAGCAGUAAUAGCAGUUAACAGAGAUUGGAUAAGGAAACUUAGAAUAUGAAAUAGACUUAAACGAGAACAUAGGGCUCCUGAACUUAGAGAAGAAUUUUCUGCCCAACUAGUAACUACGUAGCAAGCUCUUUCCCUGCCUUUCUAUCACUCAUUACCUCCCCACAUAUUUAUUCUGUGAUUCCUUUCAACUUCAGCCAGCUCGCCCACUCAAUAUUGUCAAACUCAAGAAUAGUAGGAGGAUCCGAUAGGGGACCAAAGUUCAAAACUCAGACUAGUAAGAGUUGAGUAUAAGAAAGUAAACCAGAAAUAUUAAGAUCCCAUACAUAGCGCAACUUAAAAUAGGUUCACAUAUCAUAAAAUUACUCAUAAUAACUAACAAAUUCAUAAUUAUUUAACACAAAGAAACUAUCCAAGGAAAUCAUUCAUAUUAAAAUCAGGAUAAUCAUCCUUCUCCAAAUGAUCUUCAUCUUCAUUAAUCUCAUCUCCUCCACCCACACCAUUUUAAGAAAUUGGAGGAACCUCCAACUUCAGCUAAGAUGUUUUCAUUUUAAGCAUCAAAUCUGAAUUUUACUUCAUUCCCCUACAGAAUCCAAUCAUCAACAAAAGCAAGAUCAUCAAUGUUAAAGUCAUUUUUUCUAACAUCCUUCUCGUUAAAUCUUGAAUUAGCCAUCACAAACACCACAUCAGUCAUCAUCUUUUACAAUAAAAAAUUAUUUUCUCAAUGUGGACCUAAAUAAUUAUAAAAUUAAUUAACACAUCCUAGAAGCCUACUGGUAAGGAAAAUGAUUAUAAAAUCAAUUGGACCUAAAUAAUUAUAAAAUUAGUUAAUCAAUUUCACAAAUUCAAAUUCUUUCGCUCUAAAAAGCACUCUAAUUUAGCGAGAUCUGAUUCAAAGCAACAUACUGACUGAAAUUCAUAUGGGUUGAAAAAUUAAAUCUCACUGGACGAGAUGGAGGGAUUACAGAGUGUUUCAUCCUCCUUCUUCAGCAACACCCUCACGCGCCCUCUUUGCAUGAAGUCACGAGGAUAUGCCUUGUCUAUCUGCAAUAUUCCAUGCAUUAAUAAAUUUUGCAGUGGUUAAAUAGAGAUGAGUAAAGAAUCCAAAAUUAACGAACCUCAAUGGCAAAAGGAAGCUUGAGAUAGCUACAGCAAUCACCAAUUUCGGCACAAGUAGGGUUUUCACAAGCUUUGGCAACCCCGAUGCGCCUUCCUUCGGCCAUUGUCUUUUUGGAGUUGAUGUAAACAGGAUACAUCACAACCCAUUUUUUUAUGUUGGGUAACUCGCUAGUAUCCAUGGUUUGUAGAAUCGAAAAAACUAACACAGAUAAAACAACAUGCAAAUGAAUUUCUCCUCCAUCUCUCAAAAGAGGACAACAAUAGUAAUAAUAAAAAUCUUUGUUAUGCAUAAAAGGAAAACAGGGUCCACGAUCAACCCCACACAUUUGCAACCAUUUUUCUGUCCAUUUUUUCCUCUCUCUCUCUCCCCUUUACAGACAAACUGGCACAACCUUUUCUACCCUCUUCCCCUGAUAUUUUUUUAGAAAACCAGCACAAAGGAAAAAGAAAAGCGGAACCAAUAAUAGGUCAAUAACUAUCAAAAUCCAAAAGGAAGUAAUUAAUUAAAAGAAAAUUAAAAAAACAAAAACACAAAGCAGAUAAUUCUCCAAUAUUGUCUUUGCAUCUUUUAUCGUUCUGAAACAAUUUUCGUUGUUUGUUUUCCCUGAUGGAAACAAUUAACAAUCAUAGUGACAAUCACAAUGUAAAAGAACCUCAACGAUAAUUCUAGCAGUUUCCCUCAUAAAGAGGAGAAAACGAACAUCAACACUUCCGACACUACUCACGUGUCAGUCCUGGAAUCUGAAGACAAACCCCACGGCAAAACUGAAAAAGCCACAGAUUCAGAACAAGUUCUGGAAAAGGUAUUGUACUCGGAGAAUAAUGAUAAUAUUACAGCUUUUCAAAUUAGGGUAAAAUCACCUGCAAAAUCCGGAUAUCUCAGAUUCUUCUGAAAUUGAUUCGGUUAUAAUCGAAUGGUAACAACUCAUGUUAACCUAGGUCCUUAGGUACUCACUUAAUCUUGUUCACCUACUUAAAUACUUCUAUAUUUCUCUAAGUUCUUACAAAGUUGAACGUCCAAAAAUGUUUUGCAGGUGGAUCUCCUCUAAGUAUUUCAUCAAUAAAGCUCGUUAAAGCGAAUCAAACUCAGCACAGGUAACAUUCUCACGCAGAUCAAAAUGUAGAUACGUCAAAAUUAAGAUACAACGCCACACUCAAUGGAGAUUCAAGAAGACAACCUUUAACAUGUCAUGUCGUAAAUAUUCACCAAGGCCUGGUAAGAUCCGCAACUCAAUUAAAACGAAGUUUAUAGAUCCAUUCAUCAGAAAUAAGAAAAAUCAUAAACCGAAAACAAAACUUCAACAAGAUAUGGAUCCAGGGAUUUGAAUAUAACAAGCACAAAAAUCCACAAAAUAAAAUCAAAUCUAGCUAUUUCAAACGUACAAAAGCAAACGAAGAAAAAAUCCUUUUUUGAAAACAUCUUACCGAAUAUAACCAACAACUCAAACAAAAAUCGAAAAAACCAUGAAAUUCAUAUGGAACAAUUAAAAAUGAUCAACAAAACAUGGAUAAAUCGAAGACAUAAGCGAUAGAUACAAAAGCAUAAGCUGCAGGCAACAGAAUCCAAUAGGAUACGCAUGAAUCGAAGUAUUAAAACUAAUAAAACGGUAUAAGAAAUCGUACCUAGAAGAAGCUGCUCUGAAACCCUUGCCGCAAGACAAGUAAGGCGAACAAUAGAGUGAAGAGAAGUGAGGAAACGGCACAAGUUUUUUCCUCCGUUGACGAAAAUACCCUUAUCAUUUUACGUAUUCCAUUUGUGUCCUUUUUCAUUUUGCUGGCGGUGCGAACGGGGUUCAAUUACGCGGCUACUGAAACGACGCCGUUUAGUGUAGUUAAGUGAUGUUUUCUUUCUAGGGCUACGAUUAAUUGAGAUUUUUUAUUAUUAUUUAUUUAUUUAUUUAUUACUUUUUAAUUUUUAAUUUUUAAUUAUGGGUAUAAGUUAGUUUUACUUACAUCAUAUAUAAUUUUAUAUUUACUAGCGGAAAGCGCUCUUGCGCUUGCAUUCGCAUUUUAUAAUUAUUAUAUAUGUAUCUAUAUUUAUUAAAAUUAAUUAUAAAAUUUUAAUAAUAAAAUAAUAAAUUAAAUGUUAUAAAAUAGAUAAUUUACUGAUUCUUUUUAUGAAAUUAAAAAAAAUGUUUUAUCUCUAUAUCAACUACUCUGUAAUUAUUUUAUUUAAAUUAAAAAUGUUUUUUAAUUAUUUUAUUUAAGUAAAAAAACUGUUAUGUAACUAUUUAUCAAUUAUUUUUUAUAAUUAUUUUAUUUAAAUUUAGAAAAACUGAUAACUACUCUAUUAAUUACAAGAUGACAGAAUAAUCAAAAAAAUUAUUAUAAAGAUAAAAUAAAUAAAAAAUUGUAUAUAUUUAAAAAUACUUAAAAAAAGGAAAAUCACUUUAUAUAGAGAGAGUUAGAUAUAUAAUAUAUAUCUUGAUUUUAAUGUAUUUUUCAUUUAUUUAUUGAUUUUACAAAAUAAAGUUGCACUAAAUAUUGGAAGAAUUUUGUCAAAAAAUAUAAUAGUUUCACCAACUUGUGAUCUUAUUAAAAAUAUGAAUAUACAUAAAUAAAGAUAAAUAAAAAUUUGAAUCAUCUCCUUCUACAAUAGAAAGAAUAUUUUAUUCAAUAAUUCUUAACCAUUGAUUACGUUGACUUAGCGUUUAAAUAAAACAAACUAAAAGUAAAACAAAAUGGAAUGUAUGUGAUUGGUUUAGUGGGUUAAUUAAUUUUUAUUUAAACGGUAUAUAUAUUAAGUAACGAACUUAAAAAAAUAUCUUCUGCUGAUGAUAAACCGAGAUCGAAAUCCUAUAAAUAACAUUUUUAAAUCUUAUGUAUUAUACCAUUCUAAUUUAUACAAUACAAUUUGAUUUUUAUAUAGUGAAUAAAUCCAUAGUGAAAGACAUGUGAAAUAUAUAAAAAUAGGGUUGAAUUAUAUAUAAAAAAAUUGUAGUUUAAUUAUCUAAUUAAAAUAGUUAUAUGUAAUUUUAAAAGAACACACCCAUUGUUAAAGAUAUUUUUUCUUUAAAGUUUGCAUUGAUGACCGAUGACAAAUAUUUUAUACAGACAUUAAUAAUUUCAUUUUACAUUAAAACAUUUCCAAUAUGUUGUAUUUUCAGUUUUAAAAACAUUUUCUUUUAAUAAUUAAUAGAUUGGAUAUAAUGAAUACAAUUGUUUUAAAUUUUUUUAUUUUCAACUAAUAUAAUCUUUGCUUAUAAACUUUUUUUUAUAUUAUUUUGGACUAAUUCUAGUUGUAUUGUUUUAUAAAUUUAGAAGACUUCAAAAAUGACACGCAUUUUGUUAAAUUUGAAGUAUUACAUUAUUUUUUUACGAUUUUGAGAAGUUGAAACAUAUUUGUUAACUUUUGUAUAAGAACUCAUGCAAUGCAUAUAUGGUCUUAAAUCAUUUAUUUAACUUCUUAGUUUUAAAAAUGGUCUUUUUUUUCUCUAAUUUUGUUUCAAAAUUUGAAUUACUUUUUUUAUCUUCUCUUAUCAUUCAUGUUCUUUGUUCGGAGAACUAAUUAUUGUUCAACUUACAAAAUCAAAAUCAAACAAAUUGGAUUGAAUUCAUUUCACAAUCCUAUAGUUUGUUCUUUUUCUCUCUAAUCUUGGGUAUGUAUUUUCUGAUUCUGAUUCUAGAACUCAAAUUAUGCUGUUAAAUUGAAUUAAUUAAAUAAAUUGGUUAAUGAUUCAAACUUGAAUUUGAAACUUUAAAUAACUAUUAUAAGAAGAAUUAUAUGAAUAUUGAAUCUAUGAAUUGAAAUUUCAUUUACCCGUGAGAUAACUUUGACACAUUUCUCAAGAAAUUUUCUAAUAUUGACAUUCUUUGUGAGAUCAUAUUGGUGGUUAACCAAGAGAACAUUCUCUACCAAGUGAAAAUUAUUUAUAUGUUAUGAGUGUUAUAUAAGCAUAAAUAUUAUCAUCUAUAUUAAGCAUAAGCUUUUGAGACCCACAUGUGUACGUAAUGUGUUUUGUAUCUAUUGUCGAAACAUUUGUCUUUUCUUAGAAUAUAAGAAUUGUAUUUUUUUUAUUUUAUUUUUUACUUAUAAAGAAGGUAAAAUCUACAACUAAAUUUGUAUUUAUAUUUUUUUAAAAAUUUGGAACGAGGGAUGAUUAUUUUGCCAAGAUAACAAUCGUGAACUAUGUUUAUAUUCUGCGUUUUUUUACAUGCCUCAUGUUAGGUGAUAUUUAGUCAAGUAAUUGUCGUCCAUUAUGCAUAAAUAGACGAAGGUUCAAACAAUAAUCAUCGUCUAUAUUGAAUUACUUUAGACGUUAGCAUAGAUUAUGAUUUUAAAAUUGUCACCGAAUGGUUUUAAAAGUCAUAGUCUAAACAACUUUUUGCACUAGUGUCCAUACAUCUCGUGAUUUUAUAAAAAAAAUCACUAAUUGUUGUGGGAUUAUGGAUUUUUAGUUAAUCAAUUGUGCUGUAAUUGAUUAUGAGUUUUCAAUUAAUCAAUUAUCUAUUGUGCUGCAAUGAAUUAUGAGUUUUCAGUUAAUCAAUUAUUCAUUGUUCUUAUUUUCAAACUCAUUUAUUUUUAUUGUUGUAACUUGUUAUUUAGAUGCGUUUAUCAACCAAAUUUCAUGUUUCAUGCACAAUUAUGAAAAAAUAUUUAUUUUUCGAUAAACACACCACAAAUUAUUAUUAUUAAUAUUUUUUUGAUUACGCAAUAAUAUUGUUUGUAAAAAUUAAUUUGCCCAAUAUUUUCUUUAAUUAAUUUUUUUUCUUCACAAAUAUAUAAAUAAUACUUUAUAUACACUUUUAUAUUUAUUUUAAAACAAAAACUUACCUAAUUUUAGACAAGGGUAAAUGAUUAAAUAAGACAAUUUUUUUUUUUACAUUUCAAUCAUAUCAAUCAAUUCAUCUACAAACUUCAUUUCCACUAACUUUAACUCAUUUUUCCUAUAACAAAACAACCAAAUUUUCUACCCAUUUUCUCCUCCUUUCCUUCCCUUUCUACUCUCACACCCAACCAAACAAAGUCUAAGAAAAACUAAGUAAUUAACCAGCAUACUUUGUACAAAAAAUUUAUUUUUUAUAAAACUUUCAUGUUAGACAUCACUUUGCAACUUGACAUCUCAACUAUGCUGAUACCUCAAGUAACAACAAUCAUCUGCUACAAAAAAAAUAUUAUUAAAAAAAGAAAAAAGAAAGAAAAUACAAUAAAACUAUGUGGAGACUAGACAAAACACAUAUGUUAACAAAAACGGUACAUAUGUAGACUAUACUUAUUCAUAAAGAAUUCUAAGAACAGACUAGAUGCAAGCCUAAUAUACCAAUGAAAUUAUUCUCUAUGAAUAAAUUCUAAAUUAGCCAACUUAUCAGCACACAUUCCCCUCACGAAAAAUAUGAGUAACCAUAAACCUGAUAUUCCCACAAUAAUUAAGACAAGUAUUUCAUUGAUUACGAAACAUUCACGGAACAAUAGUCCUAGCAGUAAACGCAACACAAACCAGGAAAAAAUCGCAUUCAAGCAAUACAUUAGUAAAUCCCAUCUUUUGAACUUCCUCUAAAGCAUAUAUAACUCCAUAAAACUCAGCAACCAAAGCAGUAUAAAUAUCAAGAAAUGCAGAGAAACCCCCAAUAAACUCCCCCAUACUCCCACGAAAAAUACCUCCACAAGUAGCAAGACUAGGAUAUCCCCUAGCAGCCCCAUCAAUGUUAAUUUGAACCCACUAUGGCGAAGGGAACUCCCAUCUAACAAGAAGAGGACGAAGAACUUUACCAGUACGAGUAUUAAUACGAAAAAAUUUAAUGACACUGAAAUCGAACAUAUCAUUCUUCAUUGAAGCUUUAGACGAAUUUACCACGAGACAAGUUAAAUCUUUAAUUACCAAAAUAGCCCGAAAAACAUCAAUUUUAUCCUGAAAUUUAGCAUAAUCCCUCAUACGCCAUAUCAUCCAAAUAGAAAAGGUUAUCACAACAAACUUAAGCAACUUAACCAAAGAACUACCAUCCCUCUUAAUAAAAGAAAGAAGAUCUUCCUUAUUAGAGAACUCAAGAGUAAGAAAAAUCUACCGAAUUCAUCUCCAAAUAUGCAAAGCAGUAGAACAUUCAAAAACUAAAUGUUAAAUAGAUUCAUCGUGCUUUUCACAAAGCGUACACAUAGAACAUAUUUGCUAAAUGACUUUAUCACAGUGAUUUAACGUCUAACAGUGGUCAAUGAAAGUUGCAGUAUACAGUAGAUCCUCUAAGCCUCUACAAUUUUGUUCAUGUUAGACGAUAUGAUGAAUGUAUUGAAUACAUAACAUGUUUUUUGUUAUAAUAGUUAAAUCAAAUCUUAUGAAUCAUAUAUGUAACUAGUAGCGCAUUCAACCCAAGAGAUAUUAUAUAAAAACACAAAAAGGAUUUUAUCUACAAGUUUUUUGGAAUAAAAAUAUAUUCACAACGAGUGUACAGGAAACAAAAAUAUCUUUAUAAUCUCUUUCAAAAUUAUCUUGCUUAAACAUAUUUUAUCAUUUGUGAUAUAUAUUGCAAAUAUCUCUGAAUCUUUUUAAAACAAAAAUGAAUUUAAAAAAUGGAAAAUCUCAAGUACUCUAGUUUUAGCAUCACAUAUUAUUAGGAACAAAUUGAUUUUCUGAUUAUGUUUUAAUUUGUUUUUACUAACCUAUAUUGCAAAUACUUUUGAAUAGUUUCUUAAACAGAUUUGAAGCAAAAACAAUUUGAAGUAUUAUAAAUUUAAGCAUUUUGUUUUGAGCAUCUUCCACAAAAAAGAUGAAGAUAUUGCAAAAUUCAAACUUAACUAAUUUAAGUAUCUAAGGACAAAUUUGAAAAACUAUAUGAAGGGAUUGAAGGUGAAGAACAAAAAAAAAAGACAAUUCCACAAAAGCCAUGGUGAGCAUUCAAUCAAGCUAUUAGAGCGUCUAGUCUUUUGGAUUGAGUGUUAAACCAUUAUAAUUCUUCACAUUGUAAAGUUAUACCCUUUGUGACCUUUGUUUGUGCUCUAUUUGAGAGUGUUCUUUGUUUUAUUGAGAGUUCUUAAUCUCAGGGGGGUUAAGAAUGUACAAUCUUGAGAGGUUUGAAUACUUGUUACAACCUGAAGAGGUCAGGAAAUACUCAUUGUAACCUGAAGUGGUGAGAAUACUUGUUGUAACCAAGUGUGUUGGUUAGUGAAAACUCUUAAAUAGUUGCUUAAGGGGCUAAAGGUAGUCUAAGUUUAGAUGAACUAUGAUAAAUUCUUGUAUGUUGAUCUCUUAUUAUUCUUGUUAUUGUUCCUACUUUAUUGUUUUGUGUAUGUUUUUUAUUAGAUUAUUUGCUAGAUGAUUAUACUAGACAGAAUAUUAUAUAGUUUAUCUUUAUCUAUUGAAAAAAUAAUUCAAACUUUACUCAAUCCGUUUUUAGAGCUAACUGCACCUAUAUUAUUAUUAUUAUAGAAAAAUUGUAAAAUAAGUUUACUAUUUUCUCAAGUAUAAAUCAAAAUAUUCAAACACAAUAUUAAAAAUUUAAUCUUAAGUAAUUUUAAUAAGUUAUAACAAAGUAGUUAAACAUUUUUACCUAAGUUAAUCAUGUAAAUUGAAACUAUAAAAACUAUUUAUUUACACAAUAUGUGUAAAACGGGUUAAUGCAACAAUACAUUUACCUUUCUCAUUAAAUUAUAGGGAUAAAUACUCAUUUCAUGUUCAUCACCAAUGUGAUAUUUAUCCGAUCAAAUACCCAGAAAAUCCGAAUACACAUUGUUCAUAAAAGUUACUAACAAGUAAAAAAAAACCUUUUGAUGCAAACAAAAGAAUUAAAAAUAAAUUUCAAAUUACACCGACUAAAAAAUAAUUUCUAACUUGAAACAAUAAAAAUAAACAAAUGCAACUAAAAAUAAAAAAUCUAAAAACAUAUUUAAAUCUUUAAUUUAACCUCCCAAUCUUGUCCUAUUUAAUAUCAAAUGGAACAAAUGUUCAAAUAAAUCACAGAAAUUUUUUGAAUGUAGAAGUAACCCUUUACAACUUCAAAAAGUUAUCUCACCUAGGGAUGACAAUACGGGACAGGUCAUGGGAUCGCCCUACGGCUUGCUACUAAAAAGUGUAGGACGAAUUCACUAAUCUAACCCGUUAACCCGCUUUGGCCUGUCCCGCAUAACCCACAACCCAUGCAGGUAACAACGGAGCGGAGCAAGUUUACCUGCUAGCCCGCGUAAAUAAAAAAAUAAUUAUUUUUUUUUGUAAAAAAUAAUCAUAUCCCAUUCAUCCAUUAUUACAGUGUGACUUUUUUUUGUUUUAUUUAAAAAAAAUGAAUUUAAUGUACUAAGAAAAUUCAUGUUUUAUUUUAAUCAUCUAAAGAAGUUAGUAUUAAGAGUGACAGUGGAUUUAAUUUUAAGUUAAGUCUUAUAUUUAAAUUUGUUAAUAAAAAAAUAAUAUAAAGAAGAGAUUUCAAUAAGAUAGUUAAAAAAUUAGUCAUUUUCAUUAAAAUAUUUUGUAACAAAACUUUACUAAGAUACUCUUAUACAUUUAUGUAUAUAUAGAAAAAAAUAAAUGCAAAAGAAAACUUUAAUUAUUUUUAAUUAAGCCUUCUAACAAGUCCUAUACUUGAAUUUAUAUUUUUAUUUAAAUUAAAUGAUUUGAAACACGGAUAAAAUUUUAAUUUUUCAGUGGUAAGAAUAAUUAUUUUUAUAAUUAAUGAAAUUUUAAUUUUUGAAAAACAAAGUUUUCUUAUACGGGCUGGCCCGCGGGUUAUUUCUUAUGCAGAAUAGACUAGUGAAAUGGGAUCGCAUUCCUAGCGCGGGCCAGGCCAAAUGCGAGACGGUUAGCCCGCAUUGUCACCUCUAUCCCACCCCACCCAAAAGAAGGCUUGAAAAAAUUGUCCAAUAAGCAAUUGUGCUAAAGUUUGUAACUUGUUCGGUUGGAAAUUUUGUAACUUGUUCAUAUUAUAGAAAGUACAUCUGACAAGACACUCAAACAUGUACAACAACGUUUCAAAACACAAAUUAUCUCCUCUUUUUCCCACCCUUUCCAGAUUUGUUGGAAGGUGCAGUAGUUGACGUUGAUGCAGUCUCUUGCUUCUUGGUCCUUCCAUGAUGCCUAGGCACCAUCUCUGCAACCCGUAACAUUAGUUGCUUUCCUGCAAAACAAACACGCCAAAAAUGAAAACAUAAGAUUUCUAGUAGUCAUUUUCUCAUCAAUUUGACAAGUCAUGUUCACAACCAAAAAGAUAAAACAACGAAAUUGCUUUUGUAAUGUCAGAGACAUUAAGGUUAAAAAAAAGUAACAGUUUCCAAACACGUAAUAAAUAAAAGAUAUCAUCAUUAUUCAUUAACAUCAUCCAAAAACAGUAAAACCAGAAAUGAAGCAGUAAAAGCAGUUAACAGAGAUUGGAUAAGGAAACUAGAAUAUGAAAUAGACUUAAACGAGAACAUAGGGCUCCUUAACUUCUG
rnacentral:lncRNA from 1 species